AGCUAACAGCACUGUGCAAACAAUAAACAAACGCAAUAAAAAUGAUGGGAAUAUGAAUCAUGGGUUAGUUAAAAUAAGUUUAUCACUUUAGAUCCUGGCUGUAGAGGAACAAGUGGUAAGAACGAAAACUUGAUAGCAUGUGUUAGCGCCAUCUAUGGGCGCAAGAAAACAACUCAUGACGUCAAAGGCGCGGAACCAGAGUGAAGAUCGCAGCUAACUUCGCGCCGCGCCGCCCUCCUGUCAACUUCAAAUCGAACGUUUCUAACACUCGACAAUUUGAUCUCGUUGCAUACAGUCUGUAAACCUGUCACUUUAAAUAAACGUUAAAACCGUAAUUUCAAUAAUAAUUAGUCAUUGAAGAGACCCUUAUUCCAACAUAAUAUUCGAAAGUCUGAGCUCGAAACAUGUUCCUUCGCGCCGGAUGACAUGUUCCAUCGCACCAGCUGACGGGAUUCAAGAUACCACAGAAGUCGAUACCUGUUGCGUGUCAAGAGAAACCCUGUGAAAGAAGCAGCUCUGGAAUAACGGUCAGGUUAAACCACUCCUUUCCCUUCCUAUUAUAAUCGAUUUGUGCUAAUAUUGUGUCGUGUUUGCGGAUUUCAGUCGAUAUUGCAACCGUUACAACUACCUACCUACGUUGUCGCGUUGGUGGGUGCCGGGUCUGCCUAUUGCAACGAGCGUCGGGGUGAUCUAUACGAUUGUAAGUACCUUUUGUUUCCUAAAUUCUUCUCAAAAUGAGCGAGGAUAGCGAUAGAUUAAAGCUGAAUAUACCAAAGUCAAGAGAGGGUAGUCAUUCGCCUUCUAGAGAACUUAAAUUAACCGUUUCAGACCUCAAAAAACAAAGAGGAAUUCUGAGAGGUCGUGUAACUUCUUUUGAAAGCUAUAUUUUUAAAUUUCAGAAUUUGGUUAUUACAAAAUGUCAAGCAGUUGAACUAAAUUUAAGAAUUUUGAAGUUAGAAUCAGUUAUUGAUGAGUUUUACAAAAUUCAAGAUAAAAUCGAACAGUUUUGUGAUGAUAAUGAUCUUUCAAUAAAUAUUGAGUACCGCGAAAGCUUCGAAGAACAAUAUUUUCGAAGUGUUUCUGUCGCUAAAUUAAUUAUAGAAGACCAAAGUAAUAACCAAAAUUCGGUAAAUACGCAAGUUUCAAGUGACAAAAAUGCAUCGUUACAAAUUAAAUUACCUGACAUCAAAUUACCCUCUUUUAGUGGUUCGUAUGAUGACUGGCUCGAAUUCAAAAAUUCGUAUUUAACGAUGAUACACGGACGGGCAGAUUUAAAUGCGAUUCAUAAAUUUCACUACUUGCGGUCAUCACUUAGCGGUGGUGCGUUACAAGUUAUAAGUGCGUUAGAGUUCACAGCAGAAAAUUAUACCCACGCAUGGGAAUUGUUACACAAUAGAUUUCAAAAUGAUCGACUUUUGGUGCACAACCAUGUCAAAGCCUUAUUUUCGAUACCUAAUAUAAAUAAGGAAUCUCCUUUGCUCAUUAGAAAACUCAUAGAUUCUAUUUUGCGAAAUUUACGUUCAUUGAAAUCGUUGGGCGAGCCCACAGAAUCAUGGGAUACACUAAUUAUAUACUUAAUUGUCUGCAAACUUGAUUCUUCGACCGAACGCGAAUGGGAAACUUAUAAGGGAACGCUUAUUUCUGGUUUUCAAGGCCAAGAAAUUAAACGUAAAUUAAUAUUAAACGACUUGUUAACAUUCCUGAGAAAUAGAGCUGAUUUGUUGGAAAUGGUGAACGUUAGUAGUAACGCAAAUAGUGCUCAUAGUUUUCACAAGCCCCCUCAUUCUCAUUACAAUAAAUAUCAGAGUAAACAAUUUCAUGAUUCGAAACCGCAUGUAGCACAAACACACACGCAGAGUUAUGUAGCUACAAAUAACGGGAAAACGACCAAACGUAACCGUUGUUGUGAGAUGUGUCGCGGAAAUCAUGCUUUAUUUAUGUGUAGUAUGUUUUUGAAUUUAUCAAUCGAGGAUAGGUACAAAUUAGUAAAUGAAAAGAAACUUUGCCAUAAUUGUCUGCGCGGUGGCCAUUCUAUAACUAACUGUUAUUUCGGGCCGUGCCAACAGUGUAAAUGUAAACACAAUAGCUUGUUACAUAAAGAAUUAAGAGAAAAUACAAUUGGUAAUGUUAACUCUGAGUCAAGCACAUCUCAAAUAAAGUCGACCGUAAUGCAUUCAUCGUUAGGUUCGCAUUGCCACGAUAAUUUAAACACCGCUCAGCUGACUACACAAACAAAACAAGUUUUGUUACCUACCGCGCUAGUUGAAGUGAUCGACGAAAACAAUAUGCGACACACAGCCCGCGCGCUUUUAGAUAGCGGUAGUCAGCAUUGUUUUGUAUCAGAAGCGUUUUGUAAACGAAUAAAUUACACGAAUUAUAUACAGUCCAUUGUUCAAAUUUCUGGAGUGGGACAGUCGGUCACACAAUCCAAUAAAUUAUGCGAUUUAACUAUACGAUCAAAAUUAAACGAUUUUUAUACGCUUAUUCGGUGUUAUGUUUUGCCAUGUAAUAUAACAUCAUUCUUGCCAACAAUGAAUAUUAACGUAGAAUCAAUACGAAUACCUGAAAAUAUUCAACUUGCAGAUCCUACUUACAAUAUACCCUCUGAAGUUGAUUUAUUGAUUGGAGUGGAUGUUUUUUGGGAUCUUUUAAACGAAAAUAAAAUACGAUUAGCAUCGGGAUUAUAUUUACAAGAUUCAAAAUUAGGUUGGGUCAUUUCAGGACCUAUUUAUACGAAUAAAUUGCAAUCGAAAAAUAAUACCGUCCGAUGUAACUUUAUUCAAAAUGUCGGUAUAGAUUUACAAUUAAAAAAGUUUUGGGAAUUAGAAGAGUUAUCAAAACAACACACUCUUACUAAUUCCGAACGUGAAUGCGAAGAAAUAUUUAUAAAUACAACUAAACGUGAAUUAGACGGCAGAUUUUCAGUACGUAUUCCACUGAAAGAUUCAGCCGAUUCUUUAGGUGACUCCUAUACGACAGCUUAUAAACGAUUUAUUGCAUUAGAACGAAAAUUAGAUCGUACACCUGAUUAUAAACGCAUGUAUUCAGAUUUCAUGAAAGAAUAUCGCAAGUUAGGUCAUAUGACUAAAGUAGAUACGUACACUUGGCCACAUUAUUUCCUCCCACAUCAUGGGGUAUUUCGUGAGAGCAGCACAACCACCAAACUAAGGGUUGUUUUCGAUGCUAGCUGUGCUACAACUACGAAAAAGUCACUAAACGACAUUCAGCAUAUUGGCCCUAAGCUUCAAAAUGAGGUGUUUUCAAUUUUGUUGCGCUUUAGACAACACCAAUGGGUUGCAUGUGCUGAUAUUGAAAAAGCUUAUCGACAAACACUCAUACAACCCGAUCAACGAAAUCUACUACUAGUACUGUGGCGAGAAAAAGCGUCAGAUCCAAUUGGCAUUUAUCAAUUAAAUACCGUAACGUAUGGUACUGCGUCGGCGCCGUACUUAUGUAUACGAUGUUUACAUCAGGUUGCGCAUGAAUGCGACGAUGCAGUGAUCUCGCGUGUCAUACGGGAGGACUUCUUUGUAGAUGACCUUCUCACAUCACACGACGAUUCUAAAACAUUGAUUGAGAUCUGCGAAAAAACGUCAUACAUUUUGGGCCAAUACGGUUAUUUAUUGCGCAAGUGGACGUUAAAUUGUGAUGACACAACCGCUGCGAAAAUAAAGAAUUUAGCUAUAGGCGAACACACUCAAACCAAAACAUUGGGUUUAGGCUGGCACAAUAGGGAUGAUGAAUUUCAUUUCACAACACAACUUACUUCGUUUGAUACGUCAUCAUUGACUAAACGCAAUAUGUUAUCAGUAGUCUCGCAAAUUUAUGACCCUUUAGGCUUUCUUGCGCCGAUUGUGAUCGUAGCAAAAAUACUUUUACAAAAGUUGUGGCUGUGUAAACUCGAUUGGGACGAUCCCGUUCCAAACGAUGUCUCAAUUAAGUUCACAAAUUUUGUUGAUUCAAUUAAAAAAUACUUAUACGAAAUAAAAAUUCCACGAUUCAUAAGGAGUAUUCAUACUAAACGUUUAGAAUUACAUAUUUUCUCAGACGCGUCACAGGAAGCUUAUGGCGCUUGUGCUUAUGUACGAUUAAUACUGAAUGAUAACACUACACGAAUGAAUUUACUAUGUGCAAAAAGUAAAGUAGCGCCGCUAAAAACUAUCAGUAUUCCUAAAUUGGAGUUGUGUGGUUCGUUGAUAGGUGCACGCUUAUAUAAAAAUAUUAUCGAUUCUCUAAGCUUAACAUUCGAUUCUGUUUAUUUCUGGACAGAUUCGACCAUCGUCAUUGGUUGGUUAAGUAUGUCACAGCAUUUACUUAAAACAUUUGUCCAAAAUCGAGUCACAGAAAUUAAUGAACUAACAAAUGAUACAUUGUGGUUUCAUGUUGAAAGCCAAAAUAACCCAGCUGACUUAGUGUCAAGGGGUUUAAACGCUGUCGAACUCAAAAAUAAUAAUUUAUGGUGGCAUGGUCCCAGUUACUUGCAUUGUUCUGAGUGGUCACCUAGCAAACAACCAAUGAUAUAUUGUAAAGACUUACCUGAAACAAAAACUACAAGCGUAAGUACUUUAUGCAUCAAUUCAGAAAACAUAUUCGAUUUUGAUAGAUUCUCAUCUUUCAAUAGAUUAAAACGUACGGGGGCCUACUUACUUAGAUUUAUUUAUAACGCGCGUAAUAAACAGCUGAGGCGAACCGGUUCCUUAUCUGCCGCUGAGUUGAGCGAGUCGCAGCAAAUGUUGUGUCGAUUCGCACAGAUGCAAUCGUUUCCCUCGCUUUAUAACAACUUACUCAAAGGAUUGCCUUUGGAAAAAUGCAAGGAAUCUAAUAAAGUUAUCGGUUUAAAUGUAUUUUUAGACAGUUCUAAAGUAAUUCGUGUUGGCGGGCGACUUUGUAAUGCGACCAACUUUGAGUUUGAUAAACAACAUCCGAUGUUGUUGUGUAGCAAAAGUCGAUUUACAAUACUUUUGUUUGAAUAUCAACAUAAAACGUUACUUCAUGCGGGACCUCAACUCAUGUUGAGCACUAUCCGUGAAAGUUGGUGGCCGCUAGCAGGUAGAAAUCUUGCCAGGAAGGUAGUACAUCAGUGUGUAAUGUGCGUUCGUAUGAAAGGCAAUGUUUUCAAACCUAUAAUGGGAAAUUUACCCGUGGAACGAUUAGAGUCAGGUUUUCCUUUUUUACGUACUGGCGUAGAUUAUGCCGGGCCAGUCUUUAUACUCAAUCGCAAAGGGCGAGGUGCAAAAUUAAUUAAAGGUUACAUCUGCCUAUUUAUUUGUUUUGUAACACGAUGCAUUCACUUGGAACUCGUAAGUAGCUUAUCAACAGCUGAUUAUAUUUUAGCUUUAAAACGUUUUAUGUCUAGACGAGGGAAACCUCAAGAAAUAUUUUCCGACAAUGGAAAAAACUUUAUCGGUGCAGAAAAAGAAUUUCCGCUUUAUUCUAAUAUUAAUUGUAAUAAAAUAAUCGAUUUAGCUGCAAAUGAUGGUAUUACAUUUAAAUUUAUUCCUCCCUAUUCUGCUCAUUUUGGGGGACUUUGGGAAGCAGGGGUCAAAUCGUGUAAGUAUCACCUGAGACGCAUACUAGGCAAUGCUAAUUUAACAUACGAGGAGUUUAGCACGGUAUUAGCACAAAUCGAAGCCGUCCUGAAUUCCCGUCCUUUAUCAUGUUUAUCCACAGAUCCCUCCGACUACCUUCCCUUAACUCCAUCCCACUUCCUCAUUGGCCGCCCCCUGACCGCUCCAGCCGCUGUUGACAUCACCGAGGCACAGACUAGACGCCUGACACGCUACGACAGGAUCGAACAGCUUCGCCAACACUUCUGGAAGCGCUGGGCCACUGAAUACGUCACUGAGCUUCAAAUUCGAACCAAGUGGAAGACAAACACAAAUGAAAUAAAACUGGAUAGUCUAGUUUUAAUCAAGGACGAUCAACAACCACCACUCAAGUGGAGAUUGGGAAGAAUUGCUGAAAUUUUUCCCGGCAAAGAUGGAGUUGCACGCGUCGCAAACAUUCGAACAUCGACUGGAAUAGUGAAGCGGGCGUUUUCAAAACUUUGUCCUCUUCCGCUUCCUACAACAAAUGAAAAUGAAGAUUGCAUCGCUUCAAUCAACAAUCAAUGAAACUAAACGAAGAUCGAAGAACCUACUACCGGACUACAUUUUGAAAGUCAAUCAUGAGCUUUCAAGGCUGGCGGUAUGUUAGCGCCAUCUAUGGGCGCAAGAAAACAACUCAUGACGUCAAAGGCGCGGAACCAGAGUGAAGAUCGCAGCUAACUUCGCGCCGCGCCGCCCUCCUGUCAACUUCAAAUCGAACGUUUGUAACACUCGACAAUUUGAUCUCGUUGCAUACAGUCUGUAAACCUGUCACUUUAAAUAAACGUUAAAACCGUAA